AAUUAGGUCGGGUAAUUGGAAUGAGUACAAUUUAAAUCCCUUAACGAGGAUCAAUUGGAGGGCAAGUCUGGUGCCAGCAGCCGCGGUAAUUCCAGCUCCAAGAGCAUAUAUUAAAGUUGUUGCAGUUAAAAAGCUCGUAGUUGGAUUUCUGGUUUAAUGCACCUGGCCCGCGGCCACUAGGCUUGUGAGUGCCGGCGCGCGUUUACCAUCCUUCUAGAAAACGAUUCUGCCAUUCACUUGGUUGGGAUCGCGAUCUAGAUCUUUUACUUUGAAAAAAUUAGAGUGUUUAAAGCAGGCUUUUGCUAUGAAUACAUUANCAUGGAAUAAUAAUCUAGGACUUCGGUUCUAUUUUGUUGGUUUCUAUAACUGAAGUAAUGAUUGAUAGGGAUAGUUGGGGGUGCUAGUAUUGGCCGGCCAGAGGCGAAAUUCUUGGAUUCGGUCAAGACUAACUUAUGCGAAAGCAUUCACCAAGGAUGUCUUCUUUAAUCAAGAACGAAAGUUGGGGGAUCGAAGACGAUCAGAUACCGUCGUAGUCUCAACCAUAAACUAUGCCAACUAGGGAUGGGUGAACGUUGCAUUUUCGACUUCAUCCGCACCUUAUGAGAAAUCAAAGUCUUUGGGUUCCGGGGGGAGUAUGGUCGCAAGGCUGAAACUUAAAG
rnacentral:rRNA from 1 species